AACGAACGCUGGCGGCAUGCCUAACACAUGCAAGUCGAACGAGACCUUCGGGUCUAGUGGCGCACGGGUGCGUAACGCGUGGGAACCUGCCCUUAGGUUCGGAAUAACUCCCCGAAAGGGGUGCUAAUACCGGAUAAUGUCUUCGGACCAAAGAUUUAUCGCCUUUGGAGGGGCCCGCGUGGGAUUAGCUAGUUGGUAGGGUAAAAGCCUACCAAGGCGACGAUCCAUAGCUGGUCUGAGAGGAUGAUCAGCCACACUGGGACUGAGACACGGCCCAGACUCCUACGGGAGGCAGCAGUGGGGAAUAUUGGACGAUGGGCGAAAGCCUGAUCCAGCAAUGCCGCGUGAGUGAUGAAGGCCUUAGGGUUGUAAAGCUCUUUUACCCGGGAUGAUAAUGACAGUACCGGGAGAAUAAGCUCCGGCUAACUCCGUG
rnacentral:rRNA from 1 species